rnacentral:rRNA from 1 species
UACGUAGGGUGCGAGCGUUGUCCGGAAUUAUUGGGCGUAAAGAGCUUGUAGGCGGUUUGUCGCGUCUGCUGUGAAAAUCCGGGAUUCAACCCCGGACCUGCAGUGGGUACGGGCAGACUAGAGUGUGGUAGGGGAGACUGGAAUUCCCGGUGUAGCGGUGAAAUGCGCAGAUAUCGGGAGGAACACCGGUGGCGAAGGCGGUUCUCUGGGCCUUACCUGACGCUGAGGAGCGAAAGCGUGGGGAGCGAACAGG